rnacentral:lncRNA from 1 species
AGCAUUUCUGUGACUUUCUCAGAAGUAAUUACUUCCUCUUCUGUGCUCUGCCGGCCCUGACCUUCCCAUUUGCAUGGUGGUCACCCAAUUCUGUGGUCACUUCUGUUUAUGUUUCAGUCUUUCCUACUAGAUCAGACUUCCUUAGAGCAGGAAGUAUGUCAUCUACACCUCUUUUCCUAGAUGCCAAACAUUCAGUGCAUAGCAGUUGUUGAAUUAUGACUACAGAGUGACAAAUGAUUAACUGAAUGAAUGAAAUAUACUCAGCAUUUGGCCUUAUGUCACUGUCGUUAAAACAUUCAUCACAUGUGUGUAAGUAUAAUGGGAUUUAGAAUUCUUACUCUUCUAAGGCUUGAAGCAUGCUCCCAGGGUCCUCGGAAGACAGAAUGUCUAUCAUUUGGUCGUUAAGGGAAAGGUCCUCAUUCACGCCAUCAGCUGAGGUGAACGGCAAGGGUUCCAGCUUGCUCUCAUACUGCCAAACCUUCAGGAGAAUUGCGGAAAUAAUAAUUGAUUGGGCCUUCUUGUGAAUUCCACGUGCUGAGAAAGCCAGGAGGGAAGGCCAGGGGUCUGCAGUCUGAGCACCCAAUCAGCCCCACCACUGUGACCACAGUAAACCCAGACAAGCUUUUGCGAAUGUCCCUGAGCCUCUGUUUUCUCUGCAAAGAAAUGGGAUCAUAAUUCUACUAGCCCUGCAUGAGGAUGUUGUGUGGGUAAAGUGGAACAAUGGACAGAAAGAACUUUUCAGCCUGUAAGACCUAUAAACUAUUUAACUAUCAUCAUCUUUAUCAUUAUCAGGUAGAGGAAACCUCAAAACAGGUAUGAUGGACCUUGACAUCAGAGAUCUGGCUAGUUUCUAAUCGGAAUAUAGGAUUGAGUGGGGCGUGGUGGCUCACGCCUGUAAUCCCAGCACUUUGGGAGGCUGAGGUGGAUGGAUCACUUGAGGUUAGGAGUUUGACACCAGCCUGGCCAACACGGUGAAACCCUGUCUCUACUAAAAAUACAAAAAUUAGCCAGGCGUGGUGGCAGGCACCUGUAAUCCCAGCUACUCAGGAGGCUAAGGCAGGAGAACCACUUGAACCCAGGAGACGGAAGCUGCAGUGAGCCGAGAUUGCGCCACUGCACUCCAUCCUGGGAGACAGAGUGAGACUCUGUCUCAAAAAAAUAAAGAAAGAAAGAAAGAAUAUAGGAUUGUGAGCUGGAAGUGACAUUAGAGAUAAAUAAGCCCAACCCUCUGAUUGGAUAAGAGAUAUCUGUGUUGUCUCCAAUAUCAUUAACUCUGCAAAAAUGCAUAGCUAUAGCUAACCUUUAACAAUUCUUGUCCCUGUGCCAGGUAUUAUUUUCAGUGCUUUCUUUGUGUUAUCAUGAAGCUGUUACAACAACGCAGUGUUGGUGCCCCCAUUUUACAAAUAGGAAAACUGAGGCUCACAGAAGUGAAAUAACGUUAUUGAAGGUCACACAGCUCAGAAGAGCCCGGUUGAUUUUUAACCCCAAUCCAACUCUGAAGGCUGCCUUCUGCUUUAGAGCAGACCACUGACCACCACUAUGCUGGCAAAAAAAUAAAGAAAAAUGUGAGAAGAGUUCAUUCUGUGAUGCCAGGAAAAAAGUACUGCAAGGGUCUUCACGCCUUAAAUCAAAUUCAUACUCUUGCUUUCCUCUGUGCAGUUCUUAUGAUCUGCCUUAAUCUCUGGAAAAUGAAUCCUGCUCCGACAUCAAAGCAGCAGGGUGCGUUUAGUUCUUCUGAUUGAUAACAGCUUUGGGAGAAUCAGUACAAGGUCUGAUUAGAUGGGACGUUUUUCUUCUCACUUUUGCCCGCCAAGGAGACUGUGGGCUGACCUCAUUUUGAAAUGACAAUCCUCUCCUCCAAGAAGCAGGGACAAAAUGAACAACAGGCUCCUCACCCAGGCUGGGGUGGAAUUUCCAGCCUCCAGAGCCCCUGGGCAGGACUAAGCCCCAGGGCAGGACUAAGCCCAUCAGGGCCCAGGUCCCUGAUGAAACACACCCUUUACCAGACACCUUCCCUUUCUGCCUCACUUCCCACCACCUCCCCUUUUGUCCUGGGAUCACUUCCCACAUAAGCUACUUGAAUGGGAAUUCUAGUCUCAGGAAUCGCCACUGGACUCAGCCUGCACAGCACAGCAAGACCCUGGCUCUUAAGAAAAAAAAAGAAUGAUGGGGAUGCAUCCCAGGACAAACAGCAGUUUUGGAGGGGGUCACUGAUUGUACCAAGGGUCCCCAAGGCCACCUGCAUACAAUCCCACUCACAGGUAUGGUUUAUUACAGCAAAAAGACACAAAGCAAAGUCAGAAAAGGGAAGAAUGGAGUAAAGCCCAAGGAAAACCAGGCACAUGCUUCCAGACUCCAGCGGAGUCACAAAAGAUGUGCUUAAUUCCCCCAGAGAGGGGUUGUGACAACUCAUGUGAAAUGUAUUCUACUAGGGAAGCUCAUUAGGGACUCAGUGUCCAGGGUUUUUAUUCGAGGCUGAUCACAUAGGCACCCUGUGCCUGGCAUGUACCAAAAUUUCAUACUCCAAGAAAAACAGCAGGUAAUCAGCAUAAACUAUACUACAUGUAAAAAACAGUUCAGGCACAGGGAGCCACUCUUAGCAGUUUUAAGAAGAUGGGAAUCCUGAAAUCCAAGUUUCCAGACACCAGCCCAGGAUCAAUCUUGUAAGCAAGCUUUUCUAAGGAUAGCAGCCUUCGGUUUGAUAUGCUAACUCUUCUCUGCACAAUGGAAAGCAUAUUAUACCCCAAACUCUGCAUCAGCAUCUGUCUCCAGAAAAGCCAACCUGUGACAAUUAGUUUAAUUCAAAAUGGCUCCAGACCAUGGGAUACCGAAUGUAUUAUUUAGGAGCUAGAAGACAACUAGCCUAUUCCUCAUUCUUGCAGCCACAGUGCAGAUUGUAGUCAAGGUUACAUUUUUUCUGACAGACCAAUGAGGCCACCCUGACCUUCUAGACUGUCAAAGCUAAGUUAGGUCAAAAACAGGAGCUUCAGUUCAAAUGCUUAUUGAAACCUGAAUCAAAGUGUGAUGCCACUUAUAACUCAUCUUUGAUAAAUCAGCCUCUGUCCACAAAGGCUGUUAUCAGAGACUGUCAGAGAACCAAUUCUGUUUUCUUGCUCUAACAUCCUCUUGAUCCUAAAUCUUGAAUUUUGAUUAACACUAAAAUGAAAUCCAAGUACUCCAUUUGUUCUGGACAUGUCCCUCUGCUCCCUGAGCCCUGAGUGUGUACCUACUAGACAAGAAAAAAAUCGAUAAGCUGAAUAAACGUAAAUAGCAUUGCAUGGAGGUUAUGUCAAAAUAUUGAUGGAAAGGAAACUAAAAAAAAUCUGUCUGUAAAACAACACAGUAGCUAAAGAUCAGCAAUCUGUUUUCAAGAUUUUUAAUCCCCUUUAUCUUCAAAGAAGGCAACAACUUGUUUUUUCAUCUUCGAGAAGAGGGAAUGAGAGGUAAAGGGGAUUAACAAUUUUGAUCACCAACAAAACGCCAAUCUCUGGGCUAGGUAAAUGUAGUGAGUUGAGUUGAGUUGUGCCCUCCAAAAAGACAUGUUGAAGUCCUAACCCCAAUACCUAUGAAUGUGACUUUAUUUAGAAAUUGUCUUUGCAGAUGUAGACAAGUUAAGAUGAGGUCAUACUGGGUCACAGUGAGUCCUAAAUCCAAUGAUCGUGUCUUCAUGAGGAGAGGGAGAUUUGUAGACACACACAGAAAAGAUGGCCAUGUGAAGAUGGAGGCAGAUACUGAGUGAUGCAGCUAUAAGCCAAGGAUUUCAAGGAAUGCUAAGGAUUUCUGAGCCACCAGAAGCUAAGAAGAGGCAAAGGAAGAUGCUUCUCCAGGGUCUUUAUAAACAGCAUGGCCCUGCCUGCCUACACCUUAAUUUCAGACUUCCAGCCUGCAGAACUGUGAGAAAAUUAAAUUGUUGUAUUAAGGUACCAAGCUUGUGGAGAUUUGUUAUGGCAGCCUGAGGACACUAACACAAUGCUUCAUAUACUUUAUUUCAUUCAAUCUUCUGUAAUCCUGUGGAACACGUAUCAUCCCUGUUCUACUGAUAGACAAAUGGAGAUGCAAAGAGAUUAAAAAAUUAAUUGAUGUCCACAGCUAAAACAAAAUUAGCUCUGCUGGACUCCAAUGUCUACGUUUGUCCCACUAGAGCUGGACACUACUUACUGUCCAGGGGGCUGUAUGUUUUUCUAAAAUGUUUUUAGUCCUAAUCUCCCACACCAUGGUAGAAGUUAGUUGUAUGACUGACAUUACAUAUGGGCAGCAUCACUCUACCGUAAAAGCCAGGAAAAGAACUCUCUCGUAUGUUCCUUCUCCCCUUCUGUCUCCCUGCCUCCCUCCCUCCUGCUUCAUGAAGUGGAAGUGGACAGGUGAGUCAGGCUACCUCAAAUCUCUUCCUCUUUCCACUUCCACCUUCUAAAUCCACAUCUUGAGAUCUUACUUUCCUUUGGCCACAAGGGCAUUGCCAAGAGAAACUGAAGAGUAGAGGUACUGUGGGCAGUUUAGUGGAGCAGGGUCUAGAUCAAUGCUUAAAGUAGCAACACAGUUGUGGGAAUGGAAGCCUGGACCUAGGAAGAGGGAAAAACCAGGGCCAGUUCUGCAGAUCCCAUCACCUGUCACC